rnacentral:rRNA from 1 species
CCCUUAGAUGUUCUGGGCCGCACGCGCGCUACACUGACGGAGGCAGCGAGCGUGUCCUUCGCCGGCAGGUGCGGGCAAUCUUGCGAGUCUCCGUCGUGCUGGGGAUAGAUGGUUGCAAUUGUCGAUCUUGAACGAGGAAUUCCUAGUAAGCGCGAGUCAUCAGCUCGCGCUGAUUACGUCCCUGCCCUUUGUACACACCGCCCGUCGCUACUACAGAGUGCCCGUGUCCAAGAAACGGUCGGACCUGUGCGGCCUCUACGGGCGACCGGAGGGCCGUUACGGGGAAGACCCUUUAUUUGACGCGGGUCGAUGAAGUAAAAGUCGUAACA